rnacentral:lncRNA from 1 species
ACCAUCAUUAAUUUUAAUACCAGUCUGUAAAUUAUGUCAUAUGUAUCCAGAUGUGGUGGCUCAUGCCUGUAAUCCCAGCUACUUCGAAGGCUGAUGUGGGAGGGUCGCUUAAGGUCAGGAGUUAGAGGCUGCAGUGAGCUACAUUUGUGCUGCUGCACUCCAGCCUGGGUGACAGAGUGAGAUCCUGUAUCUAAAAAUAAAUAAAUAAAUUGGCCGGGCAUGGUGGCUCAUGCCUGUAAUCCCAGCACUUUGGGAGGCCUAUAUAUAAAAUCCACCCAAAUUUCCCCAUGGUUCCUGAACCAUGCAUCACAGAGUAGAUUUCAAGUAGUUCAGCUAUGGCUAAAAUGUCAACUUAGGUUUCAGUUGCCAUCCAGUACGGGAGUGACAAUUUCAGACACUUUAAGCAUAUUAAAGGCCUAUAAAAGGCCUUUAAAAAUCAGCACAAUCAUUGGCUUUCAAACUGAUUUGUAGUCAUCUUUAAUUUUCCACAAUACCUUUAUCCACCUCAGAUUUAAAGUCUGAAGGAAAAAUAAGCCUUUUUUUGAAAUCUUUUCCCAAAUAACUUUUUUCUCAAUUGUCUCCAUCCCCUUUCAACCUCACUAAAUAAACCUGGCACAAUUAUGAGCUAAUCAAGUUUAUACAUGCUUUCAUUUUCACAAAGUAACAAAGUGAGCUUCCAAUAUUACAGUUUUACCUUUUCUCUUAGUCUUUGAGUCCUAGAUCUCAACAUCUGCUUUUUUUCCCUUUUAAGUGCAGUUAGAAGGCUUAUCAAUAUAUCACAGGAAGCUUUCUCCUUUUUAAAUGUUAGAGUUAUUUGAUUAGUAAAAUGGUCAAAAAGUGUUAGUAAUAAUGUUAGACAAAAAUUGUUUAAAAUAAAGGUAUUCUGGAGAUCCAUUUUGUCUGCUCUUUGUCUCUAUAUCCUUGUGUUUCUCUAGUGUCAAAAGACGGAGAUUGGUUUUACUCAGAGUUCUGUCUUAAGCUCUCUUUGUGCUUAGAUGCUCUUUUCUUCUGGCUACAUUGCAUCUGUGACAAAAAGUUGACUGUUUCACCUAGGUCCCUGGGAACUAUGCCAAGUCAAUCAUCCUUGGGCAAGCUGACUUUUUAAGUGAGACUUUCAUAUCAGCUUCUUACAGUAAGUCAUGCCAAGUGGAACUUGGAAAACAACUGCGUUGCAAAAAUCCUUCAAGAUGCCUAGAAAAG